UACGUAGGGUCCGAGCGUUGUCCGGAAUUACUGGGCGUAAAGAGUUCGUAGGCGGUUUGUCGCGUCGUUUGUGAAAACCCGGGGCUCAACUUCGGGCUUGCAGGCGAUACGGGCAGACUUGAGUGUUUCAGGGGAGACUGGAAUUCCUGGUGUAGCGGUGGAAUGCGCAGAUAUCAAGAGGAACACCGGUGGCGAAGGCGGGUCUCUGGGCAGUAACUGACGCUGAGGAGCGAAAGCGUGGGGAGCGAACAGG
rnacentral:rRNA from 1 species